UUCAGUCAACCAUGGGCCGUGUAUAUAGCGGUGGUUCCAUAAGAUGAGAAUACUGUAUUUUUACUAUACCUUUUCUAUGUUUAGAUACACAAUACCACUGUGUUACGAUCCCCUACAGUGUCCAAUAGAGUAACACGCUGCACAGGUGUGUAGCCUAGGAGCAAAAGGCCAAACCAAAUAGCCCAGGUGUGUAGUGGGCUCUGCCAUCUAUGCUUGCUUAAGUUACUCUAUGAUGUUUGCACAAUGACGAAAUCACCAAACAAUGCAUUUCUCAGAACAUAGCCCCAUCAUGUAAUGGCAUGAGAGGACACGGGCAGAAUUCUUGGAUGCCCAUUUUGGGGACAGCCACCAUAGUUUGGACAUUAAUACAUUUGGGCACAUGCACAUGAGCACACACAUGCUCACAUGCACAUGGAUGCACACGUAUGCGCGUACCACUCACUCCCGGGCACAUGCUCAUUCCCGGGCACAUACACAGUGGGGCGGGGCAGGAAGGCUGGAUGGGGCCCAGGGGAGUCAGGUGCUGUGGUGCGCUGGGGCUCAGGCCCUUCCAGCAUUCAAACAGAGAGUCUCCUAAGAAAGCAGGGAGCCCACAGGGCAUGGGAUUUGGAAUCUGAGUCAGGGAUUUGAAUCCCAUCUUGUGCCCUGGGCAUGCUAAGUCUCCCUCCUAGUGCAGUGGGUGCCUGCUGCCCAGGCUGCAGGAGCGUUUGAGGAGGCUUGUCAGCCUAUAGGGAACUGCCUGGCGUCCUGCUCAGUGCUGCAGGCUGCAUGAGGGGCCAAUUGAGGACCCCCUAAGCCCAGGAGGGGCAGAGGCCAGGGACCAGAUGCCACAAGUAUCUGUGGGUGGGCUUGGCUGUGAUGAGCAGGACAGGGCUCAGCCAAUGCCCAGGGGCAGAGCCCCCGAGGCACUGAUGACCACAGUGAGGCCAGCGUCAGGCUCUGGGUCUUGGGUCUUGGUGCUGCUCCAGGAGUGGACCCACAUGGCCCCUCAGAUGCUGCUCUGUGACUCCAGGCCUGGGUCAAGCCGACCUCUCUGCUUGUCCCCCCACCUCCCUCUAGGUAACUAGGCCCCAAGAUGUCACAGCAUCAGAAAUACAGAGAAAAAAAAGCAUAGUUAAUACUGCUCCUGCUGGGAAGGCCCACAGCAGGGCGGAUGGUAGUGCACCCAGCAGGUGUGACAGCCCAGUCUCCCCAUCUGCAGGGAAACCCCAUGCCCCCUCAACCCUUACUGCCUGUCACCAGCUGGACCCCGGUCUCUCCUGGCUGCUGUCUCACCUGCCUUCACAUGGUUUCUGGUUCUUUCAUCUUUUCAUUAUAAUUUUUGUUUGGAGAAACUUUAAAAGUAAAAGAAUGUGGGCCAAAAAUAUGUUAACCCAUUCCCACCAGACAUGCAACACUGGGGGGGCUGUUCCUCCCAGGCUCCUUGGGCCCCCCAGCUGCCCAUGACCCCUGGGUGUGCCCAGACAGCAGGGGGGGUGUAGUCCACCCCCACCACGUCCACAGCCCCUGACUCUCGGGUGGGUCUGGGGGCUGCUCGCCCUGGGAGAGAAGCCAUCCCCUCCCGGCGGGGCCAUCUAUCAGGACCUCUCUGACAUCAGCAUUUUCCUCUGUGGCUCUAGCUUCCUGCCUCCUAUCUCUGUCCUCCUGAGAAUGUCCCAUCUGUCCCAUCUUUCCCAUUAGCAGCCCUGUCCCUGAGCCCAGUGCAAGCUCCACAGUGGAGAGGCCACUCAGCAUUGUAAGUGAAUGCUUGUCCUCGUGCCUCCCUCCCCGGGAGCUCUGCCUGGAGCUCCUUCCCGGCUCCGGUGAAGCUGCAGGCAGCAUUUCAUUGCUUUGACCUGUCCCAGGGCACCUUCCUUCUAGAAGGGCGACUUGAAACCUUUUCAUCACAGCACGACAUAUGCCCGGUCUUGCUUUGGUCAUCCAGUUUUAUGUGUCCCAUUUUAUACUCAUUUUCUUCCCCUCAUGUUUUGUUUUUUUCUUUUAACUAAAACGAUCCAUUUAUUGAGUUAAAAGAUUGUAUAUUCAAGACGUUCACUCAGUAUGUGAUCCUGCAUAGUAAACCUCGGGUGAAACAAAGACAACUAUUUUUAUAUAUUUUUAAAAAUUUAGUGGCAUAUAGACUUCUAAUAUUUUGGGGGGGGGGAUAUUCUUUUUUUCUUUAAUUAUGGUAAAAUAUCCAUAAUAUAAAACUGACCACUCGAAUCAUUUCUAAGUGAGCAGUUCAGUGGCAUUUGGCAUACUUACAUUGUUGUGCAGCCAUCACCCCCAUCCAUCCACAGAACUUUUUCAUCUUCCCAAACUGAAACUCUGUAUCCAUUAAAUAACAAAUCCCCACCCUUCCCCGCCCCUGGCAACCACUGUCUACUUUCUGUCUCCAUGGAUUUGACUACAGUGUGUCUAAGUGGGAUCAUUCAGCAUUUGUCCUUUUGUGACUGGCCUAUUUCACCCCUCUGUUUUAUACCUUUCUGCUGCGUGGCGCUUUGGCUUUCUAUGUUCUGCGGCGGUGGGUGGUAAAGUGGAUGUCCUGCUUUUAAUUCUGAGGGCUCGCUUCUCAGUUUUCAAAAACACACUUUAAUCUCUGAUUCUCCAAUUAUCAAGCAUUUGCCAUGAAAUGAUACUUGCUGCUCCCCAGCACUGCAGACUGUGUAAGAGACAUCUCAGCCAGCAUUUGGAUUAAGUCAAACCCCAGGAAUCCGCACCUCCUCCACCUCAUCACCCAAUAAAAAAGGUGGAGAAAUUGAGGCCCCAAGCAGGGGCAGACUCACUGGGGUCACAUGGUGAGUUGGUGGCAUGAAUGGGUGCUCCGGUCUACACUGUACCACCUCCUCCAGGAAGCCUUCCUGGCUUGGUCAAGCCAGGCCUGGGGUGGUCACCACCUGAUGUCACAUCCCCUUGAGACAAAGCCCCCCCCCUCCCCCGCCACCAGGCACCUAUCCCCAGUGUCCAGGACAUAGCUACUGGAUUCAGGCAGCUUCUGCAGAUGAGCUCCCAGCCCUAUGUCCAGGAGGUUUCUGGAAUCGACAGCUCUCCAUGCCACAAUACCCUCCAUGGCUAUUUAGGGAACACCCAGUGUGUGCCAGGUUCGGCUGGCCUGGGAGAGUGCACAGUGGACACUGGUCACCAGGAGACACAGGGGGCCAGUCCACACCCUUCCGCAGUCGGGCCUGGGGAAUGGGUUGGGUACUGACCUGGAGGAGGGAGGGACAGCAGGAAGGGCUGGCUGGGCCUCAGCUCUCUUGCUUACCUUCCAUUCUCUCGAUGGCCCUGGCUAGACACAUGCUGGCUCGCCCAGGCCCUACUCAUGUUUCGGCACAACGACCCUGCUCUGCCUCCGUCCCCAAGACCCUGGGCUGUGCAACCAGGGCCAGACCUGUUCUUCAGCCGCACCAGGGCCUGGCUGUGCCUCUGCCUGUCAGUGGCCAAGCCCUGAGCCUGGAGCCAUCCAGAGCCGCACGGAACCCACAGCCUGCAGGGUGGGGCUAGACAUGGCUCCUCCUGCCCGCCCGUGGGUCGUACACCAGCUCAUUAGAGCCAAAGCAGCAUCGAUUUUGUGAAUGAUGAGCAUGUGUACGUGUUUUUGGAGCCCUGGUGUGAUUUGGCGUGUGCAGCUGAUGAUUCAGGGGGGUCAUGUGCAAACGACACGCCUUAUAAAUGUGAACCCACCAGAACGCCCCGUUACGGAGAUUUACACUGAUCCUUAAACAUCGUAGAUUAAUUUUUGGAAAACAUCUAUAAAAUAAGAGAUUUAUACCUAAAACAAUACCCUAUGCUGUGACAGGAAGGGAUUAGAGUCAAUUUAUUCCUGUAUUAGUCAAAAACUCAAUUUCAUAUAUUGUGUGGAAAAAUUAAAACCCUUUCUACAUUUUAUUACAAAUUAUGCAUACUCCAUAUAUGGAGAUAAAUAAUUGAUAGCAUUACAAAUACUUAAUCUAGAAAAUAUUUAUUAGGAACAGACAACUCAUUUUUCAUGUGUUUUGUUGAGAACAAUAUUGCACACUUUAAAAAAUUAAUGAUGACUCUUUGCAAAAAUAAAUGUCUACAUCCUAA